GGUGGCCUAGUGGUUAGAGCGUCCGCCUCGGAUGCGGGAGGUCGUGGGUUCGAUCCCCAGUAGAGUCA